GCACAACAACGGGUGGAGCCUGCGGGUUUAAUUUGGACUUCAAACGCCGGACAACUCACCCGGGGGCGACAAGCAAUAUGUAGGUCAAGGCUGAAGACCUUGCCCGAAUCGCUAAGAGAAGGUGCAUGGCCGUCGCCAGUUCGUACUGUGAAGCAUCCUGUUAAGUCAGGCAACGAGCGAGACCCGUGCCCACUGUUACCAGCAUGUCCUCCGGGACGAUGGGUACUCUGUGGGGACCGCCGGUGUUAAAUCGGAGGAAGGUGCGGGCUACGGUAGGUCAGUAUGCCCCGAAUCUCCCGGGCUACACGCGGGCUACAAUGGAUGGGACAAUGGGUCCCUACCCUGAAAAGGGUUGGUAAUCUCACAAACCCAUUCUUAGUUCGGAUCGAGGGCUGUAACUCGCCCUCGUGAAGCUGGAAUCCGUAGUAAUCGCGUUUCAAUAUAGCGCGGUGAAUACGUCCUUGCUCCUUGCACACACCGCCCGUCAAACCACCCGAGUGAGGUAUGGGUGAGGGCACAGACGUCGUGACUGUGUUCGAACCUGAAUUUUGCAAGGGGGGUU
rnacentral:rRNA from 1 species